GACGAACGCUGGCGGCGUGCCUAAUACAUGCAAGUCGUGCGGACCUUGUUGAAAGCUUGCUUUUAAAAGGUUAGCGGCGGACGGGUGAGUAACACGUGGGCAACCUGCCUGUAAGACUGGGAUAACGCCGGGAAACCGGGGCUAAUACCAGAUCGUUUUUUCCUCCGCAUGGAGGAAAAAGGAAAGGCGGCUUCGGCUGCCACUUACAGAUGGGCCCGCGGCGCAUUAGCUAGUUGGCGGGGUAAUGGCCCACCAAGGCAACGAUGCGUAGCCGACCUGAGAGGGGGAUCGGCCACAUUGGGACUGAGACACGGCCCAAACUCCUACGGGAGGCAGCAGUAGGGAAUCGUCCGCAAUGGACGAAAGUCUGACGGAGCAACGCCGCGUGAGUGAAGAAGGCCUUCGGGUCGUAAAACUCUGUUGCCGGGGAAGAACAAGUGCCGUUCGAACAGGGCGGCGCCUUGACGGUACCCGGCCAGAAAGCCACGGCUAACUACGUG
rnacentral:rRNA from 1 species